GACGAACGCUGGCGGCGCGCUUAACACAUGCAAGUCGAACGGAAAGGCCUGCUUUCCCUUGUGGAUUGCGGGUACUCGAGUGGCGAACGGGUGAGUAACACGUGAGUGAUCUGCCCCCAACUUGGGUAUAAGCCUGGGAAACUGGGUCUAAUUCCCGAUAGGACUGCAGGGUGGUGCCUGUGGUGGAAAACGAUUUUCUAGUGGUUGGGGAUGAGCUCGCGGCCUAUCAGCUUGUUGGUGGGGUAAUGGCCUACCAAGGCGGCGACGGGUAGCCGGCCUGAGAGGGUGGACGGCCACAUUGGGACUGAGAUACGGCCCGGACUCCUACGGGAGGCAGCAGUGGGGAAGAUUGCACAAUGGGCGGAAGCCUGAUGCAGCGACGCCGCGUGGGGGAUGACGGCCUUCGGGUUGUAAACUCCUUUCGACCGCGAGGAAGCCACCUGGUUGGAAGGGUGGUGACGGUAGUGGUAGAAGAAGCACCGGCUAACUACGUG
rnacentral:rRNA from 1 species